AUUCCAACUUCGUAUUUUCAUUUGAUAUUAAAGUUUUGGCACCAAUCUGAUUCUAUAUUAAAUUACCUUCCCAUCUUUCAUUUUACAACAUGGUCUUUCUAGAUCCUUGUUUUGGUUGAACAAGGGACUCAAAAGGCAAAUGAGUAUAGAGACAGCUGGCAUGGAUGGAUCCCGAAGGACAACUCUGGCCAUUGUCAGCACUGAAGCUCCUCGAAGUUUGACCUUAGAUGUUGGUGCCAAACGGCUUUACUGGAUCAGUGAUUUUAAGAUGACAAUUGAGACGAUCAAAUGGGAUGGAACAGGGCGCCACACGUUUUGGAAUGUGUUUAGGAGUGGUUCUCCAAAGGCUCUUGCAGUGUUUGAGGGCCUGCUUUACUGGACUGAUAAGCAGCAUUUGUGGCAGACUACUCCAAACAAACCAAAACAGAGCAGCUUAAUACAGACCGGAUCGUUACCCCUCAUGACUUUACACCAUGAGCUGCAGCAGCCGCAAGGGCCACCCUCACCAUGUGCAAAGUCUCGGUGUCAACUGUGCCUUCCGUCAUUAGAUGCUUCCUCAGGCUACAUCUGUGCUUGCCCCAAGGGACUUUUCCCUUUGCCAGAUGGAUCAUGCCAAUAUUUUAGGAUUGUUUAUGCCACAGCCAGACGUAUGUACACUCUGGAAUUUAGAAAAGAUGGACCAGCAAAGACACUGCUUUUCAGCACUCUUGAGGAUAUGGAGUCUUUCGAUAUAUACUGGACUCGAGGUGCGAUAGUCUUCACCAAUGGAACAGGCCAUGUGAAGGUGAAGUGGCUGAAUCAGGAAAGGUUUGAUUUAAUCCCAACCCCUGACCCAGGUAUUGCCACUCUAAAUAUGGUACAAAUGUUGCAUCCCCCUGACUAGGACAAUUUAACAAUUUUACUCUUCCACCACCCACAGUAUGUAAAGUAAAAAUGGAC
rnacentral:lncRNA from 1 species